rnacentral:lncRNA from 1 species
UUUAUUUUCUAAUUUGUUACUAAUUAGAAAAUUAAAAGAUGUAGGUUAUAAUGUUACACAUAACAUUAGAAGAUGUAAUUCUAUAAUAGUAGGUUAUGGUGUUGAUACAGAAUUAAUAAAAAAAAUAAAAAAAUUUGAUGGACCUAUUUUUAAUGAAAAAAAUAUAUUAUCACAUUUAAAAAUUAGUAUAUAUACUUAUGUAAAUUUAUUUAGACCUGUUAAUAUAAAUACUGGAAAAAAAUACAAAUUCUUGUUUAAUAAAAUCAAUUCUAAAAAUAUGUCAGUUUUUUAUGUUUAUAAUAAAAUAAAAUACUUUUGUUCAGUGCUAAAGGAGUUAAUUAUUUGGGGGGAAAGUUAUAUCUCUGCUUUUGCCUCUGACAUUGCCACUGACACUGCCACUGACACUUCCACUGACAUUACCACUGACAUUGCUACUGCUUUUGCUACUGAUGGGAGUGUAGUUGGUGAUAUCAAAAAUUCCACCAUCAGUGGUAACACGCAGGAUGUGGCUAACAAAAUUACUCUGUUCCAUUUUAGAAAAAAAAUAAAUAAUUUUUUUUUAUUUUUACAUUUUAAUAAAAACAAAUUUGAGUUUAAUUUAAAUAGUGUCAUAUGUUAUUAUAUAAAAAAACAUACUACCACUAAUACCAAUUUACUUGACGAUACGUCUUCCCAAUUCAACUAUCUUAUUUUUCUUAAAAACAUUUGUGACUUCUUUUCUGUUUGUUUUGUUAAUGAAAACGAGUUAAUUGAUUGUGAUAGAGUUGCUAGUGAAGAUAUCUUGUAUGAUUUUUAUUCAAAAAAAGAAAAACAAACAUUAGAGGUUCACAAACGCCAUGCUAAAACAGAUACAGCGAAAAUAAAGUUAAAUGACCAAACCAAUACUUUACUAGUACCUAUGAAAAAAAAAUGCUAUAACUCAUGUCCAUUUUUUUUAAAAAUGGAGAAUAUUGCAUCUCUUUUGAGAGCAAACUCAUGCAUAAAAAACCAACAAGGGGGUCCACAUUUUGAAGAUUUACGCGGACAUGAAAACACCCCACACCUACCGCAACAUCUACUACAACAUCUACCACAACACACGGAUAACGAUUCAUCAUUUGAUUACUUUUCUGAUAAUGAAAAUAAUUACAAAGACGGUGACGACAUAGAUAGCACAGAAGACGUUAGUAGUGACAAAUCAAACAGCAGCAGUAAAAGUAGUUCUACUGGUAAAUAUCCCACUACAGAAAACCGAGAAAAAAAGGAAAAAACAGAAAAAAAGGAAAAGAAUGAAAAGAGUGAAAAGAAUUCUUACGACGAUUUGAUUACAAAAAAUUACAUGCACGAGUAUGAAAAACUAAAAAAUGUGAAUAGCCUGUGGGGUAAAUUCUUCAAACCUAAUAGUCUUUAUGAGGUUGCCGGUCAUAAAAAUGAAAUUAUAAAACUAUAUAAAUUAUUAAAAGAUGUCAAUCGAAAAAAUGAUGUAGGUAAUGAGCAGGUUAUUGUUAAUGGAAGUGGCAAUGGAAGUGGUAAUGGCAAUGGGACUUCCCACUCUAAUAAAAAGCCAAAGCCAAAACCAAAGUCAAAGUCAAAGUCAAAGUCAAAGCAAGAAGUCAAAACGAAAGAAACGAAAGAAAUGAAAGCUGCUAAGAUGAAAACAGUCGCAAUAAAUCAAAAUAAAAAUCAUAAUAUUAUACUUUUAAUAUACCCACCUAAUUGUUGUAUUAAAAGGGUAGUAGAAUUAAUUUGUUAUGCUUGUGACUUAUGCCCAAUAUAUGAAAGUAAAGUACAACAAUACAAAAAUAUAAAUUAUUUUUUUAAAUAUACACAUGGAUUAAAAGCGAUAUCAAUAUAUAAUGCAAACAAACUAGACAAACUAGCUAUAAGCGAGUUAAGUUCUAGAAAUGAAGUUUGUAUUUGUUUAUACGAAUCUGCUUAUUCAGAUAUGAGUAAUACUAAUAGUAAUAGUAGUAGUAGUGUUAGUUGUAUUGGAGGGAUUUAUAACGUGACUACUACUACUACUACUACUACUACUACUACUUAUGCGAGUGCCACUAAUAAUAAUAGUAGUUAUAACAACAACAUAGAUAAUAUGUUUAAUUCUUCAUCAGAUAAUACAAAUUAUACUUUAAUUAAAUUCGAUUAUCCUUCAUUUGAUGCACUUUUUUAUAGAUGUUUUGUUGUAUCAUCUUGUAUUAUAAAAAAUAUAAAAAAGAAAUUUAUUAAAUUAUUGUUACAAGCAUGUAAAAGUAAUAAUGGACCAUAUUCUCUAGAAAGUGCUUAUAACAAAUUACACUUAUUAUGUUGUUAUAUUAACUAUGUAAAAAACAAACGUUUUACGGAUUAUGUCUUUGCGAAUGAAUGUGAGCAGGUAGUUAGUUCAGAUCAAAGUAGCAACAACGGAAGUGGCAACGGAAGCAAUGACAAAGGCAAUAAUGAAAGUGCACCUACAACCAAGUUAGAAAAACGAACGUAUGCACACCAAGACGAAUACAAUUGGGUUGAAGAUAUCAUGUUUCCUAAUAAUGUUAUAUACUACUAUAUAACAAAACAUCUUUUAAACAGAUUUACUAUUAACAAUUAUGAUUAUUUGGAAAAAAAGUUUCUGAAAAAUCAAAAAUUCAUGAUUUCUCCUAGUAAUCAGGGCACCAUGGACAAACAGGAUAGUAGUACUAACAAAAAAAGUAGUAGUAUUAGCAAAAAAAGUUGUAGCACUAACAAGCAAAGUAGUAAUAUUAGCAAACAAAGUAGGAUGACUACACUUUCCAAACUAAACAAUGACUACUAUUUUUAUAGGACAUUCGAACUAAAUGAAAUUGAUAAUGUUAUUUUUGAUUCGUAUGCUAAACUAUUUCUCAAUAAUAAUAAUAAUAAUAGUAGUAACGGUGGUAACAGUAGUAAUAGACAAAUGAAUCAAUCCUUAAGUCCGAAGAAAACUAAUAACAUUAGUAAAAACAAUAAUACAAACGAAGAACAAUCAAACUAUUUAUAUAACGAUGAUGUGUCAAAAAAAAAAAGACAAAACACAUUAAUAAAAAUACUAGAACUGUUUUUAUACUCUUCUAUUAUAAUAAAAACAAAUGACAUUAAUGUAUCGUUGUUAGCUGUAGAUAUGGUAGUCUUUUGGAAGAAGUUUCUUUACAUUAGUUCAUUUUUUACGCUAAAAAAAAAAAAUAAAAAAAAUAGAUGGCAUGAUCAGAAAAACCAGAAGGAACGAAACGAGGACCACUGCUUAAAUGUUCAAAAUGACCUACACGCAAAAUACCAUCAACAUAACCACCAGACUAGACAACAGACUGCACAAUUUACUUCACAAUUUACUGCACAAUCCAAAACCAUCAAGCCAAAAUAUUCGAACCAGUACAAUACCAAUAGAGAAAGAACCAUACACAACAGUAACUACGAUGGUUAUAGUAAUUAUCGCAAUAUCACUACCAAUAGUAAUAGCAAUAGUAGUAGUAGUAUUAGCAGUAGUAGUAGUAGUAGCAGUAGUAGUAGUAGUAGUAGUAGUAGCAGUAGUAGUAGUGAUGAAUAUAGUAAUACAUACUACGAUAGUAUUGAUUAUACUAAUAAUAUAAAAAGUAACAACUUUAAAUUCAAAGAUAAUGUUUAUAAAAACAAAAUUGAAAAAUAUAAUAAAUUAGGUUUAGAAAAAAUAAAAAAAUAUAAAAACCUCAUGAUGACCUUAAAAUGUCCUUUUAAUUUCUCUUCUGUUAAUGUUGUUUAUGAUAUAUUACAAAACAGUAAAAUGACUGGCAUUAAUUUGAAAAAAAAAAAAGUGUCAAACUGAGUAGGGCCACAUGGUUGGCUGGUUGGCUGGUUGGCUGG